UACGAAGGGGGCUAGCGUUGCUCGGAAUCACUGGGCGUAAAGGGUGCGUAGGCGGGUCUUUAAGUCAGGGGUGAAAUCCUGGAGCUCAACUCCAGAACUGCCUUUGAUACUGAAGAUCUUGAGUUCGGGAGAGGUGAGUGGAACUGCGAGUGUAGAGGUGAAAUUCGUAGAUAUUCGCAAGAACACCAGUGGCGAAGGCGGCUCACUGGCCCCGAUACUGACGCUGAGGCACGAAAGCGUGGGGGGAGCAAACAGGAUUAGAUACCCUGGUAGUCCACGCCGUAAACGAUGAAUGCCAGCCGUUAGUGGGUUUACUCACUAGUGGCGCAGCUAACGCCUUAAGCAUUCCGCCUGGGGAGUACGGUCGCAAGAUUAAAACUC
rnacentral:rRNA from 1 species